rnacentral:rRNA from 1 species
GAUGAACGCUGGCGGCGUGCCUAAUACAUGCAAGUCGAGCGAACAGAUGAGGAGCUUGCUCCUCUGACGUUAGCGGCGGACGGGUGAGUAACACGUGGAUAACCUACCUAUAAGACUGGGAUAACUUCGGGAAACCGGAGCUAAUACCGGAUAAUAUAUUGAACCGCAUGGUUCAAUAGUGAAAGACGGUUUUGCUGUCACUUAUAGAUGGAUCCGCGCCGCAUUAGCUAGUUGGUAAGGUAACGGCUUACCAAGGUAACGAUGCGUAGCCGACCUGUGAGGGGGAUAGGACACACUGGAACUGGGACACGGUCAAGACUCCUAAGGGAGGCAGCAGUAGGGAAUCUUCCGCAAUGGGCGAAAGCCUGACGGAGCAACGCCGCGUGAGUGAUGAAGGUCUUCGGAUCGUAAAACUCUGUUAUUAGGGAAGAACAAAUGUGUAAGUAACUAUGCACGUCUUGACGGUACCUAAUCAGAAAGCCACGGCUAACUACGUG